GGGGAUGAUCGGUUUCGACAUUGCCUGAGUGAGUGUGAGAAGCGGGCCGAGGACGCACGGUUAUCUCGUAAACGAUCCGCGCAAACAAUAAGUGCCAAUCAAAACAGCACUGUUCCGGCCAAGCAGGCCGCUUUCGCUCUCGCAGCCUAAGCACCAGCUAGCCGCAUAAGGAACCGUCAGACCGGGAAUGCCCUCUACCCGGAUCCUGGCGUUAUCUAGAGGGAUUGCUUGUGCGUCACGCCUGAGGGCGCACAGGGACUUGCACUCGGGCUGGGCUCGUCGGAUCAGGUGCCAGCGACAACUUCCGGAGCCGAGUAGAACAUCUUGCUGGCUACGCCCGUAGAAGGCAUACGACCACAGCAGUGGACCGGGGUUCAAUUCCCCGCAUCUCCACCG
rnacentral:tmRNA from 1 species